rnacentral:rRNA from 1 species
UACGGGGGGGGCAAGCGUUGUUCGGAAUUACUGGGCGUAAAGGGCUCGUAGGCGGCCAACUAAGUCGGAUGUGAAAUCCCCAGGCUUAACCUGGGAACUGCAUCCGAUACUGGAUGGCUUGAAUCCGGGAGAGGGAUGCAGAAUUCCACGUGUAGCAGUGAAAUGCGUAGAUAUGUGGAGGAACACCGAUGGCGAAGGCAGCCCCCUGGGCUAAGAUUGACGCUCAUGCACGAAAGCGUGGGGAGCAAACAGG